UGGCGGCGUGCCUAACACAUGCAAGUCGAGCGAAAUACUUGCCUGUAGCAAUACAGGUAAGUGUUUAGCGGCAGACGGGUGAGUAACACGUAGACAACCUUCCUCAUAGAGGGGGAUAGCCAGCCGAAAGGUUGGGUAAUACCCCGUAAGAUCGCGGUCCGGCAUCGGACUGUGAUGAAACAUCCGCAAGGAUGGCUGUGAGACGGGUCUGCGGCCUAUCAGCUAGUUGGUGAGGUAACGGCUCACCAAGGCUACGACGGGUAACCGGCCUGAAAGGGCGAACGGUCACACUGACACUGAGACACGGGUCAGACUCCUACGGGAGGCAGCAGUGAGGAAUUUUGGACAAUGGGGGCAACCCUGAUCCAGCCAUGCCGCGUGAGUGAAGAAGGCCUUCGGGUUGUAAAGCUCUUUCGGCGGGGACGAAACGGUCCGUGACAACACCACGGACUAAUGACGGUACUCGCAGAAGAAGCACCGGCUAACUACGUGCCAGCAGCCGCGGUAAUACGUAGGGUGCAGGCGUUAAUCGGAAUUACUGGGCGUAAAGCGUGCGCAGGCGGCUCCUUAAGUCAGAUGUGAAAUCCCCGGGCUUAACCUGGGAACUGCGUUUGAAACUGGGGAGCUAGAGUGUGGAAGAGGGGGGUGGAAUUCCAGGUGUAGCAGUGAAAUGCGUAGAUAUCUGGAGGAACACCGAUGGCGAAGGCAGCCCCCUGGGCUAACACUGACGCUCAUGCACGAAAGCGUG
rnacentral:rRNA from 1 species